UACGGGGGGGGCAAGCGUUGUUCGGAAUUACUGGGCGUAAAGGGCGCGUAGGCGGCCUUCUAAGUCGGACGUGAAAUCCCUCGGCUUAACCGAGGAACUGCGUCCGAGACUGAAAGGCUUGAAUCCGGGAGAGGGAUGUGGAAUUCCAGGUGUAGCGGUGAAAUGCGUAGAUAUCUGGAGGAACACCGGUGGCGGAGGCGGCAUCCUGGACCGGCAUUGACGCUGAGGCGCGAAAGCUAGGGGAGCAAACGGG
rnacentral:rRNA from 1 species